rnacentral:rRNA from 1 species
UAGGGAAUCUUCGGCAAUGGACGAAAGUCUGACCGAGCAACGCCGCGUGAGUGAAGAAGGUUUUCGGAUCGUAAAACUCUUUUGUUAGAGAAGAACAAGGACGUUAGUAACUGAACGUCCCCUGACGGUAUCUAACCAGAAAGCCACGGCUAACUACGUGCCAGCAGCCGCGGUAAUACGUAGGUGGCAAGCGUUGUCCGGAUUUAUUGGGCGUAAAGCGAGCGCAGGCGGUUUCUUAAGUCUGAUGUGAAAGCCCCCGACUCAACCGGGGAGGGUCAUUGGAAACUGGGAGACUUGAGUGCAGAAGAGGAGAGUGGAAUUCCAUGUGUAGCGGUGAAAUGCGUAGAUAUAUGGAGGAACACCAGUGGCGAAGGCGGCUCUCUGGUCUGUAACUGACGCUGAGGCUCGAAAGCGUGGGGAGCAAACAGG